GGUGGCAAGCGUUAUCCGGAUUUAUUGGGCGUAAAGGGAGCGUAGACGGUUAAUCAAGUCUGAAGUGAAAGCCCGCGGCUCAACUGCGGAACGGCUUUGGAAACUGAGUAACUGGAGUGCUGGAGGGGCAGGCGGAAUUCCUGGUGUAGCGGUGAAAUGCGUAGAUAUCAGGAGGAACACCGGUGGCGAAGGCGGCCUGCUGGACAGUAACUGACGUUGAGGCUCGAAAGCGUGGGGAGCAAAC
rnacentral:rRNA from 1 species